UACGUAGGUGGCGAGCGUUGUCCGGAUUUACUGGGCGUAAAGGGCGCGUAGGCGGCGGGUCAAGUCGAGUGUGAAAGCCCCGGGCUCAACCUGGGAAUUGCGCUCGAGACUGGUCUGCUUGAGUUCGGGAGAGGAGAGUGGAAUUCCCAGUGUAGAGGUGAAAUUCGUAGAUAUUGGGAAGAACACCGGUGGCGAAGGCGGCUCUCUGGACCGAGACUGACGCUGAGGCGCGAAAGCGUGGGGAGCAAACAGG
rnacentral:rRNA from 1 species